UCCCAAAACUAUUUUUCUAUGGAGUUGAAGUCAUUUAAUUUCACUAAAUAUUAAAUUCCUACAUGGGUCAUGCAAUGUUAAUGUGAGUAGGAACUAUUAAUUACGGUGUUUGUUCGAAUGGAACACUUAUCUGUGUUGCGUGCUAUGCUUUUAGGGAGUGCGUGAGUUACGUCAGCCUCAGACAGCGAAUGGACGCUGGCGAGGCAAGACGCACAUUUUCCCUUCUCUUCUUCCAGUCAUUAUUGUGUUUAACGGAAGAAGUUAGCGCGACGGAUGUUUCUCUUAUCAAGUGUCCCAUGUGUUUCAGCAUUUGGAUUAUGCACUGAUUUCACAUUUCUAUAGUGUUGUUGUGAAUGUGUAUGAUGUUUUGGGAGA